rnacentral:lncRNA from 1 species
GAGUGGGGUCCCCGCCUCCUGGGAGACUGGGAUUUUGGCCUCCUCACCGCGGGACCCCUGACUGUGGAGUGUUAAAGACGGAAUAGGACUUAGUGAUCUUGUCCAACCCCCUCGCCGUUAUUGACAGGUUGGGUAAAUGGACGCCUGGAGAACAGAAAUCCAGUACCAAAAUUGACUCCAGAAGAGAGAACCUAGCGGAACAAUAACAAUGGAAGAAAUUGGGAACAUUAUCAAAAAGCUAUCAUCUUGCCAAACUCCAGGCUCAGAUGGUGUUACAGCUUUUGAAGACCAAAUUGCAAAUACAUUACCAGGGAUGGUUUUGUGUUGUCCUAUAGACUUCUUAAAUUUUAUUUAAAAAUUCAACAGAACUUAUAACCAACAACUUGGUCUGAACUUGAAGUCAAAAUGUGUUGUUAAUAAUAGAUUCUAACUAUUGUUUUUACCUUCAGUGUGAACUAGCGUGGUAAUAAUUUUGAAAAGGCAGGCCAGGUGCGGUGGCCUUGUAAUCCCAGCACUUUGAGAGGCUGAGGUGGGCAGAUUACUUGAGGUCAGAAGUUCGAGACCAGCCUGACCAACACGGUGAAACUCCAUCUCUAUUAAAAACACAAAAAAUUAGCCGGGCGUUUGGCACACACCUGUUAUCCCAGCUACUUGGGAGGCUGGGGCAGGAAAAUUGCUUGAACCCGGGAGGCAGAGGUUGCAGUGAACCGAGAUCAUGCCAGUGCCACUGCACUUCAGCCUGGGCUACAGAGCAAGGCUCUGUCUCAAAAAAAAGAAAAAGUUGAAAAGGCAAACAUGACUGAAUAUCUGAAAGGCUUUAAAAGUGGCCUUUUUGUUACAUAUGUGGCACAAAUGGCUCAUGAGCGCAGGACACUUAUGGUCUUGUGUCUUGUACUUCAUGUCUGAUACCACCAGAAAUGUUAUGAAUUCUGUAUUCAACACUUAGAGUGGUAAGAGCCCUCAGAACUGCACCACAGAGUAAACACAACCUUUAUAUGGUGGCGAAUAUGUGUCUUUCUUGUCUCAUUUGUGGUUGGGGACAAAGUCGAUGUUUUUGUCCAAACAGUCGAUAUUCAUCUUAAGAUGGUUGGCUGUAUAGUCACCGGCUAUAUUGUGAACUGUGCGAUAAAACAGAAUCGUGUGUGUAUAUGAUUACCUUUGGAUACCUGAAAUUCCCAAGCUCAGUUACAAUGUAAUGCUCACUGUAAGGCUAUGCAAACAUGUAAGGGAAUAAUGGUGGUUGAUGGGAUAUAUGAAAUGGGAUCUAGAG